rnacentral:rRNA from 1 species
UACGAAGGGGGCUAGCGUUGCUCGGAAUCACUGGGCGUAAAGCGCACGUAGGCGGAUCUUUAAGUCAGGGGUGAAUCCUGGAGCUCAACUCCAGAACUGCCUUUGAUACUGGGGAUCUCGAGUCCGGAAGAGGUGAGUGGAACUCCGAGUGUAGAGGUGAAAUUCGUAGAUAUUCGGAAGAACACCAGUGGCGAAGGCGGCUCACUGGUCCGGUACUGACGCUGAGGUGCGAAAGCGUGGGGAGCAAACAGG